GACACUAUGAUGAUGUCAUCACUGAUGGACUGAAACCAGAUCGUGAGACAGAAGACACACCUGAGAGCUAUGAUGAUGUCAUGACAAGCGGACAGAACUCUGAUAU